AUUGAACGCUGGCGGCAUGCCUUACACAUGCAAGUCGAACGGUAACAGGUUAAGCUGACGAGUGGCGAACGGGUGAGUAAUGUAUCGGAACGUGCCCAGUCGUGGGGGAUAACUGCUCGAAAGAGCAGCUAAUACCGCAUACGACCUGAGGGUGAAAGCGGGGGAUCGCAAGACCUCGCGCGAUCGGAGCGGCCGAUAUCAGAUUAGGUAGUUGGUGGGGUAAAGGCCUACCAAGCCUACGAUCUGUAGCUGGUCUGAGAGGACGACCAGCCACACUGGGACUGAGACACGGCCCAGACUCCUACGGGAGGCAGCAGUGGGGAAUAUUGCGCAAUGGGCGAAAGCCUGACGCAGCGACGCCGCGUGGGUGAUGAAGGCC
rnacentral:rRNA from 1 species